GUAAAUCUUCCUCCAUCCCUUUAUUUUGAGCCUUUGUGUAUCCUUGCAUAUGAGAUGGUUCUCCUGAAUACAUCACACCUAUGGGUCUUGACUUUUUAUCCAAUUUGCCAGUUGUGUCAUUUGAUUGGGCAUUUAGCCUGUUUCCAUUUAAGGUU